UGAUCACCACCUUCCUGGGGCGCAACAGGGUGAACUGGUCCCGCCAACUGGUGUAAACUGUAUACACGUUAUGUCUAUCGAAAGAGACCAUCGCCCCUGGGGCAUGUAUGAGGUCGUGGCCGAGGGCGUCGGCUAUAAGGUUAAACGCAUCGAAGUGAACCCCGGUCAACGCCUGAGCCUGCAAAUGCACCAGAGUCGCAGCGAGCACUGGGUGAUCGUCAGCGGCGAAGCGAUAGUUACAAUCGGGGAACGCGAGAUACGUUUGCGCGAAAACGAAGACGCUCUCAUUCCUUCUCGGACCAAACA
rnacentral:misc_RNA from 1 species